rfam:Candidate division Zixibacteria bacterium SM23_73_2 WORSMTZ_1573, whole genome shotgun sequence.
GGAGAGGUGCCGGAGCGGCCGAACGGGGCGGUCUCGAAAACCGUUGUUCCUUUUUGGAACCGGGGGUUCGAAUCCCUCCCUCUCCG